CUUCUUCACAGACAAAGAAAACUCGAUUUGUCAAAAAUUGAGAGAGUGUAUAAAUGGGAUUGUGACCGCAGGCACUGGCACUUCUGAUGCUGUCUGCAAACACGCCUCGAAAGAGGUGAAAGAAGCCCCCACGAAAGAGGUGAAAGAAGCUCCCACGACAGAGGUGAAAGAAGCCCCCACGAAAGAGGUGAAAGAAGCUCCCACGACAGAGGUGAAAGAAGCUCCCACGAAAGAGGUGAAAGAACCCCCUAAAGCCCACAUUACCCCAUUCCAGGCAACCACAAUCUCUUCUAUGGCCACUUCAAGAAUUACAGACUCCUCUUCCAACAACACACCAAAAAACAGCCUCUACAGCUUGUGGCUGGUCAUGCUAUGUGCUGGUAUUCUUCUGCUGGCUGGACUCCUGUACCACAAGUGUAAAGUCACCCACUGUAUUCAUAACCACAAGAAAGUGGAUUUUCGAAAAGAAAGUGUAUGCAGAAAGCCUGUUGAAGAAUCUGGGGAAAAGUGCCAGUCUUUGCUUGUCUAACGCUGUUGUUAAUGGCCUCAGUGGAAUAUUUUGUAUGCAUGCAAUAUUGGUUGUUUUAUAACUAGUUUAAUUGCUGUUAACUUCAUUAAAUCUCCACUGAAUAACACCACUUAAAGGGAUAGUUCACCCAAAAUUGAAAAUUCUGG
rnacentral:lncRNA from 1 species